rnacentral:lncRNA from 1 species
AUGAUGCUGAUUGCUUUAAUCUCAACUCUGCUGCGCCUGUUUUCCAAAUUGAGUAUUAUAGUACAUUAUUUUCCGUAUUUGCUCUCUGUCGUGUUGUUUAUCCUCUCCGGGCCCUGGUUUCAGAUCAUUAUGGUACUGACUGUUGUAGCAAUGGCUUAUGAGACGAUGAGAUAUCUGGUCAUGACUCUAACUUGUUAUUUGUACUCAGUAACAUCGUCGACUCUGUACUUUGGAAACUGUAUCUUGGGAACUAUUAGCAAUUAUACCUAUUGUUUUUUUCCAUUAGGGAGUCAAUCUGUGGAGGGGAAAGGGGAAGAUAUUUUUUCUUACUUGAUUACUCUCCCUUUCUCCUUCACCACCCCUGUAUCCUCCUGGAUCACUCUCCCUUCCUCCUUCACCACCCUCUUAUCCCCCGAGCUUGUCACAAUAGUUCUCCAAGAUAUUGAAUAUUCUUGGGAUACUCAGACCAGCAUAGUCUUGUUGUUCUGCCUCCUGAAUGCACUUCAGAUUCUGCUUAAAGUUAAACAACUACUUAGGAAGCUCAUCCGGAGAUCUGCCCGGAGGCAGUAUAGUUGUGGGUGGCAGGGAGUAUGGGAGGAUAUGGGCAGGCAUCUAGAGCAGUUGGCACCCCCAGUGUUUUGGAAAUUCACCCCUGAACAACUGCAAAAUCCUCAAAACCUGGCAGAAUGCUUGAAAAAAAGGUGUCAUGAUUCUGGCAAUUCCAAAGUGACACAAAUCAUUGUAACAUGCUGGGGCCUGGCUCAUGCCUAUCGAGCUGCCAUUGAUACUGCUAUCAACUUAGUGACAGACCCUGCGGCCACUCCAAGCCCUGUGACAGAUCCAACGGCCACUGUGACCCCUACGGUGGAUUCUGCAGCCGCUCCAGCUCCGGUUCCUGCAGCCGCUCCAGUCCCAGCUCCUGCAGCCGCUCCACUCCCAGCUCCUGCAGCCGCUCCAGUCCCAGCUUCUGCAGCUGCUCCAGUUCCAGCUUCUGCAGCUGCUCCAGUCCCAGCUCCUGCAACUGCUCCAACUCCAGUUCCUGCAACCGCUCCAGCUCCUGUGGCUGUGUCAGAGAAACGAGCUGUAGCAGUGCAAGUUGAUCCUGCAGAGGGUAUUACAACCCCUGUGGCAGACCCUGUAACAGGGUCAGAGAAACGAGCUGUAGCAGUGCAAGUUGACCCUGCAGAGGGUAUUCCAACCUCUGUGGCAGACCCUGUAACGGGGUCAGAGAAACGAGCUGUAGCAGUGCAAGCUGCCCCUGUAGAGAAGGUGAAAAAAUGGUAUAGAGAUUCAGGUCGUUUAGAACGCAGAGAGUCUUCUGCCAAAUCUAGGUAUAGAGACGACGGAGACGACGACGAUGCUGGGCCAUCAAGGAUUCAGGAGGAGGAAGAUGAGGAUGUCGAAAAAUCAACAGUAACUACCCGAAGUCUAAACGAGCGCGAGCUACGAGAUGUGCAAAAAGAUUUUGGUCGUUGUAUAGGAGAGCAGCUUGUCACCUGGCUGCUCCGGUGCUGGGACUCUGGAGCCAAUUGUGUGGAAUUAGAUGGCAGGGAAGCCAAGCGGCUGGGAUCCCUUGCUCGAGACGCCGGCAUUGACAAAGCAAUUGCAGAUGGAGCACAAUCUCAUAGCCUCUGGAGGCGUCUCCUCUCAGCUGUGAGGGAAAGGUAUCCCUUCAAGGAAGAACUUUUAUGUCUACCAGGCAAGUGGACCACUAUGGAGAAGGGAAUCCAGUACCUGAGGGAAUUAGCCGUACGGGAAGUGAUUUAUGAGGAUCCAGACCUCAGACAAACAUCCAAAGAUCCAGAUGAAGUCAGGUGUACACAACCCAUGUGGCAGAAGUUUGUACGGAGUACACCAUCAUCAUGUGCCAGCUCAUUGGCAAUAAUGGCCUGGAAAGAGGAUGAGGAACCCACAGUGGAUGAAGCGGCUAAACAACUCCGGCAGUACGAAGAAAGUCUCUCCUCUUCCUUACAGGCCUGCGUCUCAGCUGUGGAGAAACUUUCUGAAGAGGUCCACCAACUUAAAGAGAAUCUAUCUUCCCCCCAACCUGAACCAACCAGUGUCCAACGACCAAAAGAGAACACUGUGGAGAAACUUUCUGAAAAGGUCCACCAACUUGAAGAGAGAUUAUUCUCCUCCGCACCUGUACAGAGCAGUGUCUCAGCUGUCAGGGGUAGGCGUUCAUCUACACAAGGAAGACGAUAUGGUGGGUACUCACCCCGUGCCACCCUGUGGUUUUACUUACGAGACCAUGGAGAGGACAUGAGAAAAUGGGAUGGAAAAUCUACCGCGACCCUAGAGGCACGGGUACGUGAGUUGCAAAAGAAAACAAUCAGGAAAAAGGGAUUCUCUGAAAAGUUUGCUGCUCCAACUUCCAGCAGACAGUCCUUCAAACACAGAAACGAAGAAGAUUCUGACCAGGAUUAG